rnacentral:rRNA from 1 species
UGGGGAAUAUUGGACAAUGGGGGAAACCCUGAUCCAGCAAUGCCGCGUGAGUGAAGAAGGCCUUAGGGUUGUAAAGCUCUUUUGUGGGGGAGGAAGGAGCUUGUGUUAAUAGCAUAAGUUCUUGACGUUACCCCAAGAAAAAGCACCGGCUAACUCUGUGCCAGCAGCCGCGGUAAUACAGAGGGUGCGAGCGUUAAUCGGAAUGACUGGGCGUAAAGGGUGCGUAGGUGGUUAGUUAAGUUAGCUGUGAAAGCCCCGGGCUCAACCUGGGAAUGGCAGCUAAAACUGAUUAGCUAGAGUAGGUGAGAGGAGUGUGGAAUUUCCGGUGUAGCGGUGAAAUGCGUAGAGAUCGGAAAGAACACCAGUGGCGAAGGCGGCACUCUGGAACCAUACUGACACU